CUAGUUUUUAAUCUUACUGCUCAGACGUGUCAUUUUUCCUAUUAAGGUGAAACUUGAACAAUAACUCGGGAAGAGCUGUUGCGCUUUGAGGAAGGUUUAUGACUU